rnacentral:rRNA from 1 species
GACGUAGGCAGCGAGCGUUGUUCGGAGUUACUGGGCGUAAAGAGUGCGUAGGCGGUUUUCUAAGUUUGGUGUGAAAUCUCCCGGCUUAACUGGGAGGGUGCGCCGAAGACUGGAAGGCUUGAGUAUGGGAGAGGUAAGCGGAAUUCCUGGUGUAGCGGUGAAAUGCGUAGAUAUCAGGAGGAACACCUGCGGUGUAGACGGCUUACUGGACCAUCACUGACGCUGAGGCACGAAAGCGUGGGUAGCAAACAGG